AAUAGAUACCCUGGUAGUCCACGCCGUAAACGGUGGGCACUAGGUGUGGGCGACAUUCCACGUCGUCCGUGCCGCAGCUAACGCAUUAAGUGCCCCGCCUGGGGAGUACGGCCGCAAGGCUAAAACUCAAAGGGAAUUGACGGGGGCCCGCACAAGCGGCGGAGCAUGUGGCUUAAUUCGACGCAACGCGAAGAACCUUACCAAGGCUUGACAUACACCGGAAACGCCCAGAGAUGGGCGCCCCCCUUGUGGUCGGUGUACAGGUGGUGCAUGGCUGUCGUCAGCUCGUGUCGUGAGAUGUUGGGUUAAGUCCCGCAACGAGCGCAACCCUUGCCCCGUGUUGCCAGCAGGCCCUUGUGGUGCUGGGGACUCACGGGAGACCGCCGGGGUCAACUCGGAGGAAGGUGGGGACGACGUCAAGUCAUCAUGCCCCUUAUGUCUUGGGCUGCACACGUGCUACAAUGGCCGGUACAACGAGCUGCGAUACCGCGAGGUGGAGCGAAUCUCAAAAAGCCGGUCUCAGUUCGGAUUGGGGU
rnacentral:rRNA from 1 species